rnacentral:rRNA from 1 species
AAAGGAAUAGACGGGGACCCGCACAAGCAGCGGAGCAUGUGGUUUAAUUCGAAGCAACGCGAAGAACCUUACCAGGGCUUGACAUGCCCCUGACCGCAUUAGAGAUAGUGCUUUCCCUUCGGGGACAGGGGACACAGGUGGUGCAUGGUUGUCGUCAGCUCGUGUCGUGAGAUGUUGGGUUAAGUCCCGCAACGAGCGCAACCCUUGUCUUUAGUUGCUAACAAGUAAUGUUGAGCACUCUAGAGAGACUGCCGAUGAUAAAUCGGAGGAAGGUGGGGAUGACGUCAAAUCAUCAUGCCCUUUAUGUCCUGGGCUACACACGUGCUACAAUGGUCGGUACAACGAGGAGCUACACAGCGAUGUGAUGCAAAUCUCUUAAAGCCGAUCCCAGUUCGGAUUGCAGGCUGCAACUCGCCUGCAUGAAGUCGGAGUUGCUAGUAAUCGCGAAUCAGAACGUCGCGGUGAAUGCGUUCCCGGGUCUUGUACACACCGCCCGU